UACGUAGGGACCAAGCGUUGUUCGGAUUUACUGGGCGUAAAGGGCGCGUAGGCGGCAAUUCAAGUCACUUGUGAAAUCUCCGGGCUUAACUCGGAACGGUCAAGUGAUACUGCUUUGCUAGAGUGCGGAAGGGGCAAUCGGAAUUCUCGGUGUAGCGGUGAAAUGCGCAGAUAUCAGGAGGAACACCGGUGGCGAAGGCGGGUCUCUGGGCCGAUACUGACGCUGAGGAGCGAAAGCGUGGGGAGCGAACAGG
rnacentral:rRNA from 1 species